rnacentral:rRNA from 1 species
CCUACGGGAGGCAGCAGUGAGGAAUAUUGGUCAAUGGGCGCAAGCCUGAACCAGCCAAGUCGCGUGAGGGAUGACGGUCCUAUGGAUUGUAAACCUCUUUUGUCGGGGAGAAAGGCCCGCCACGUGUGGCGGGAAGGAGAGUACCCGAAGAAAAAGCAUCGGCUAACUCCGUGCCAGCAGCCGCGGUAAUACGGAGGAUGCGAGCGUUAUCCGGAUUUAUUGGGGUUAAAGGGUGCGUUGGGGGAAUGUUAAGUCAGUGGUAAAAUUUCGGUGCUCAACACCGGCCUGCCGUUGAAACUGGUCUUCUUGAGUGAGCGAGAAGUAUGCGGAAUGCGUGGUGUAGCGGUGAAAUGCAUAGAUAUCACGCAGAACUCCGAUUGCGAAGGCAGCAUACCGGCGCUCAACUGACGCUGAGGCACGAAAGCGUGGGGAUCGAACAGGAUUAGAUACCCGGGUAGUC